AGGUUCCUGUAUCUUCAUGUCGAGUUGGUCGCUGCCCAACGUAGAGGACUAGGAAUCAGGAGUCAGUGGCCGUAUGCUGGAGGCUGGAGCCACGUGAACGCGGCUCGCCUUGCUGCGGUUGUUGGCAGUGAUGGAGAGAUAGCAGCGCGACUGGAGCGGUAGGAGAAGGAAAACAGUUUUGGGAUAGAUAGAGGAGAGUAAAGAGGGUAGUUAGUGCCAAAGGGAAAAAAGGAUAGCUUAGCAGGAGAAGACAAGGUUUUGUGAAAAGACAGUGGCAGAAAAGAAAGACAGUGAAGAAAGAAAAGACGGUGGGUGAAAAGUGUUUCUAUAGAUGGAGAGGGGAAAGAGGGUGAC
rnacentral:lncRNA from 1 species